AAUCUGGGGCCCUCGGCCUCCGAGUUGUAAUUUGGAGAGGCAUCUUCGGAGGGGAGCGCCGGCCCAUGUUCCUUGGAACAGGACGUCGCAGAGGGUGAGAAUCCCGUGCCAGGCCGGCAGCCUCCUCUCGCGUGAAGGGCCUUCGACGAGUCGAGUUGUUUGGGAAUGCAGCUCCAAGUGGGUGGUAUAUUUCAUCUAAAGCUAAAUACCGGCGGGAGACCGAUAGCGCACAAGUAGAGUGAUCGAAAGAUGAAAAGCACUUUGAAAAUAGAGUCAAAAAGUACGUGAAAUUGUUGAAAGGGAAGCGCUUGAGACCAGACUCAGACCCGAGCAAACACCGCGCCCCUCGGGGCCGUGCAAUUGCCAGGGGCUGGGCCAGCAUCAGUUGGCGUGGCGGGACAAAGGCGCGGGCAAUGUGGCUCCCCUCGGGGAGUGUUAUUAGGCCCACGCUCAAUGCCGCCGACGUCGACUGAGGACCGCGCCUCGGCUAGGAUGCUGGCUUAAUGGCCUUCAGCGACCCGUCUUGAAACACGGACCAAGGAGUCUAACAUCUAUGCGAGUGUUUGGGCGUCAAACCCUUGCGCGUAAUGAAAGUGAGCGGAGGUGGGAACCCCUCGCGGGGCGCACCAUCGACCGAUCCUGAUGUCUUCGGAUGGAUUUGAGUAG
rnacentral:rRNA from 1 species